GACUCCUACGGGAGGCAGCAGUAAGGAAUAUUGGUCAAUGGACGGAAGUCUGAACCAGCCAUGCCGCGUGCAGGAAGACGGCCCUACGGGUUGUAAACUGCUUUUGUACCGGAAUAAACCUACUUAUGUAUAAGUAGCUGAAUGUACGGUAAGAAUAAGGAUCGGCUAACUCCGUGCCAGCAGCCGCGGUAAUACGGAGGAUCCAAGCGUUAUCCGGAUUUAUUGGGUUUAAAGGGUGCGUAGGCGGCUUUUUAAGUCAGGGGUGAAAGACGGUAGCUCAACUAUCGCAGUGCCCUUGAUACUGAAGAGCUUGAAUGUACUUGAGGUAGGCGGAAUGUGACAAGUAGCGGUGAAAUGCAUAGAUAUGUCACAGAACACCAAUUGCGAAGGCAGCUUACUAAAGUAAUAUUGACGCUGAGGCACGAAAGCGUGGGGAUCAAACAGGAUUAGAUACCCUGGUAGUCCACGCCCUAAACGAUGAACACUCGAUGUUGGCGAUAUACGGUCAGCGUCUAAGCGAAAGCGUUAAGUGUUCCACCUGGGGAGUACGCCCGCAAGGGUGAAACUCAAAGGAAUUGACGGGGGCCCGCACAAGCGGAGGAGCAUGUGGUUUAAUUCGAUGAUACGCGAGGAACCUUACCCGGGCUUGAAAGUUAGUGAAUAGAGCAGAGACGCUCUAGUUCUUCGGAACACGAAACUAGGUGCUGCAUGGCUGUCGUCAGCUCGUGCCGUGAGGUGUUGGGUUAAGUCCCGCAACGAGCGCAACCCCUAUGUUUAGUUGCCAGCAUUUAAGGUGGGGACUCUAAACAGACUGCCUAUGCAAAUAGAGAGGAAGGAGGGGACGACGUCAAGUCAUCAUGGCCCUUACGUCCGGGGCUACACACGUGCUACAAUGGACAGUACAGAGGGCUGCUACCUGGCAACAGGAUGCCAAUCUCUUAAAGCUGUUCACAGUUCGGAUCGGGGUCUGCAACUCGACCCCGUGAAGUUGGAUUCGCUAGUAAUCGCGU
rnacentral:rRNA from 1 species